AGUUAUGGUGGCUGUGCGCAGGGCACCUUCGGGUGCGCCGGGGUUCCUGGUAUCCGGUCGACUAACCUGCGUGCAGCCGCCACCCCU
rnacentral:antisense_RNA from 2 species